rnacentral:lncRNA from 1 species
AACCUGUGGGCGGAGCAGAUCUGGGGGAAAUUUGGACACAUCGGUGUGACGUCUCCUAGACAUCCAAGCCACCAUCUCAAGGAGGGACUUGGACGAAUGUGUGUGCACUUUGGGAGAAAGUUCAGGGCUGGCAAUGGACAUGCAGGGGUUGUUAUGUGGCAGCAAAUCUCAACUGAUUUAGAGGUUUAUUUUGCCAAGGUUGAGGAUGAGCUCAGGAAAAAAUUACACACACACACGCAGGUUACAGGAACAUAUGUAGCCUGUGCUUUUGUCCAAAGAGGGUUUUGACAACUUCAGUGUUUAAAAGGGAAAGAAUGGGCAGGAGAGGAAGGAGGAAAGGAAAAAAAGGGAGGGUUGGCAAAAAGAACACUGAUUAGUACACACUGAAUCCACAUUUUACAUGUGAAAAGGGGAGGUCAAUUAUGCAUUUGUCUGUGCUCAGUAAAUCUACAUUCUACAGAAGAUAAAGUAAGCAUGUGAAAUUACAGCUAUCUAGGAAAAAAAGGAAGGCAGUUGUUGGUUUGUUGUUUGUUUGUUUCAG